rnacentral:rRNA from 1 species
GAUGAACGCUGGCGGCGUGCUUAACACAUGCAAGUCGAACGGGAAACCUUUUAUUGAAGCUUCGGCAGAUUUAGCUGGUUUCUAGUGGCGGACGGGUGAGUAACGCGUGGGUAACCUGCCUUAUACAGGGGGAUAACAACCAGAAAUGGUUGCUAAUACCGCAUAAGCGCACAGGACCGCAUGGCCCGGUGUGAAAAACUCCGGUGGUAUAAGAUGGACCCGCGUUGGAUUAGCUAGUUGGCAGGGUAACGGCCUACCAAGGCGACGAUCCAUAGCCGGCCUGAGAGGGUGAACGGCCACAUUGGGACUGAGACACGGCCCAGACUCCUACGGGAGGCAGCAGUGGGGAAUAUUGCACAAUGGGGGAAACCCUGAUGCAGCGACGCCGCGUGAAGGAAGAAGUAUCUCGGUAUGGUAAACUUCUAUCAGCAGGGAAGAUAGUGACGGUACCUGACUAAGAAGCCCCGGNUAACUACGUG